rnacentral:rRNA from 1 species
GCCGCGGUAUCCUAACCGUGCAAAGGUAGCGUAAUCACUUGUCUUAUAAAUAAAGACCCGUAUGAAUGGCUAAAUGAGUAUUUAACUGUCUCCUUUAACUAAUCAGUGAAACUGAUUUCUCAGUACAAAAGCUGAAAUAAAAACAUAAGACGAGAAGACCCUGUGGGAGCUUUAAAUUUUAACAAAGUAUUAAAACAUAUUUAUGGUAAAAAAUUU